rnacentral:rRNA from 1 species
CUGGCCACAGCAGGUGAUAGCCCUGUAUCUGAAAGCACUGGUGUUGUGAGUCCGAUGAGUAAGGCGGGACACGUGUUAUCCUGUCUGAAUACGGGGGGACCAUCCUCCAAGGCUAAAUACUCCUGACUGACCGAUAGUGAACCAGUACCGUGAGGGAAAGGCGAAAAGAACCCCGGCGAGGGGAGUGAAAAAGAACCUGAAACCGUGU